UGCAGACGACUUAAAUACGCGACGGGGCAUUGUAAGUGGCAGAGUGGCCUUGCUGCCACGAUCCACUGAGAUCCAGCCCCAUGUCGCACGGAUUCGA
rfam:Triticum aestivum genome assembly, contig: Triticum_aestivum_CS42_TGACv1_scaffold_060245_1BS